GACGAACGCUGGCGGCGUGCUUAACACAUGCAAGUCGAACGGAAAGGCCCUGCUUUUGUGGGGUGCACGAGUGGCGAACGGGUGAGUAACACGUGAGUAACCUGCCCUUGACUUUGGGAUAACUUCAGGAAACUGGGGCUAAUACCGGAUAGGAGCUCCUGCUGCAUGGUGGGGGUUGGAAAGUUUCGGCGGUUGGGGAUGGACUCGCGGCUUAUCAGCUUGUUGGUGGGGUAGUGGCUUACCAAGGCUUUGACGGGUAGCCGGCCUGAGAGGGUGACCGGCCACAUUGGGACUGAGAUACGGCCCAGACUCCUACGGGAGGCAGCAGUGGGGAAUAUUGCACAAUGGGCGGAAGCCUGAUGCAGCAACGCCGCGUGCGGGAUGACGGCCUUCGGGUUGUAAACCGCUUUCGCCUGUGACGAAGCGUGAGUGACGGUAAUGGGUAAAGAAGCACCAGCUAACUACGUG
rnacentral:rRNA from 1 species